AAAGAGGUAAAGGUAGCAUUCUCUAGACCUAUAAGACAGUUGAACCCCUACAGUAGUAUUUUUUCCCAAGUAAUGCUACUGAGUGAGGGUUGAGGGAAAUACCAGUGACAACUGGCAGGGUGGGGGCUGGGGAGAUGGAUUCAUCUCACUAAAAACACUGCCCAGAGAGCUAGGAAGUCCUGAAGAGAAGGCUCCUGACUAUAGCCUCACGCCUAAUCUUUCUCUCUCUCUUUUCUCUUCUCUGCCCAGUUUUCUGUCUUCAAGUCAGUUAAUUCUAUAGUUGCACAGAAAUUACAGUCACAAAAGAAAAUCUUGCAGAGGCUGUUUUUAUUGGAAAAGAAAUAACCGAAGACUGAGAAGUGAGUGAGGGAGUGAGGUGAAUGUCAGAAAAGGAAAAGUGAAGUUUCUUCAAUGAAGCCUCAGAAAACAAGACAAAAAUGCUGGAACCUCACUCAAAGAGUGGGCCAGAGGAGGCAGGUCAGAAUGUCUUGCUAGACUUUGAUUUGUUCCUACAUGAUGUCUUAAUAAAGAUGGAGAUUUCCUCUUUAGUUAAAGGAAAGCCAAAAGUAUUAAUAAAGCGCUGCCCAAUCUAUUUUCCAUAAAAAGCUCCAAAUUAUUCAGCAAUUCAGAGCAUACACAGCCAGGAGGAGUCUCUUCUAAGUAGCCAGCCUCAAGUAAAUCAUGCUUUCAUACAUGUAUUUGUAUGGCACUGUCAGGAGACCUGAUUCUUUUUACCCCACAUAUGGUGUUACUGAAUAAAUUCUUUCUACCCAGUUGUCUUAUUCUGGCAGUUACGAAUAGUGUCUGAGUAACUCUCUGCUCUAUGGUACCUGUAUCUGAAGCUACUCCAGGUGAUUUGUCAGCCGGCUUUUGUUCCUAAAGACAAAUCCUUAAGUGACCGGUUUUAUAUUCCACACUCUGCUGGUUGGUCUUGUUAAAGACAAAAUUGCACCAGACAUGAUAACAUGACGAGCAGAGA
rnacentral:lncRNA from 1 species